CCGCGUGAGUGAUGACGGCCUUCGGAUUGUAAGCUCUGUCUUUGGGGACGAUAAUGACGGUACCCAAGGAGGAAGCCACGGCUAACUACGUGCCAGCAGCCGCGGUAAUACGUAGGUGGCAAGCGUUGUCCGGAUUUACUGGGCGUAAAGGGAGCGUAGGCGGAUUUUUAAGUGAGAUGUGAAAUACCCGGGCUCAACUUGGGUGCUGCAUUUCAAACUGGGAGUCUUGAGUGCAGGAGAGGAAAGCGGAAUUCCUAGUGUAGCGGUGAAAUGCGUAGAGAUUAGGAAGAACACCAGUGGCGAAGGCGACUUUCUGGACUGUAACUGACGCUGAGGCUCGAAAGCGUGGGGAGCAAACAGGAUUAGAUACCCUGGUAGUCA
rnacentral:rRNA from 1 species